AGAAACAACAGGGAUUGCCUUAGUAACGGCGAGUGAAGCGGCAAAAGCUCAAAUUUGAAAUCUGGCACCUUCGGUGUCCGAGUUGUAAUUUGAAGAAGGUAACUUUGGAGUUGGCUCUUGUCUAUGUUCCUUGGAACAGGACGUCACAGAGGGUGAGAAUCCCGUGCGAUGAGAUGCCCAAUUCUAUGUAAAGUGCUUUCGAAGAGUCGAGUUGUUUGGGAAUGCAGCUCUAAGUGGGUGGUAAAUUCCAUCUAAAGCUAAAUAUUGGCGAGAGACCGAUAGCGAACAAGUACAGUGAUGGAAAGAUGAAAAGAACUUUGAAAAGAGAGUGAAAAAGUACGUGAAAUUGUUGAAAGGGAAGGGCUUGAGAUCAGACUUGGUAUUUUGCGAUCCUUUCCUUUUUGGUUGGGUUCUCCGCAGCUUACUGGGCCAGCAUCGGUUUGGACGGUAGGAUAAUGAUUAAGGAAUGUGGCUCUGCUUCGGUGGAGUGUUAUAGCCUUGGUUGAUGCUGCCUGUCUAGACCGAGGACUGCGUCUUUUGACUAGGAUGUUGGCAUAAU
rnacentral:rRNA from 1 species